UGGCCAAUUUCUUUGGUAUCUCGUGCUUCUCAACCAGCGCGACGCAGGUGUGGGUGUUUCCAUUCGUGUGAUCAACGGCAGCAGGUCAUGCAGGUCAUGUAAGGAAGUCCUUACUGCACUUGGUUUACUCGAAUACCAUUCAUACCAUCGGAAAAAGAUGUCUGCAAUAUUCUAGGGAAGCCAUGCCGGGUAGUUUGUUGAGGCGCAAAAUAUUGGACGAUUGGGCUUUCGGGAAGAGGGACAAUAAUUUCUGAAUGGUUUACAAACCAACCAUUCAAGGAAAUGCUUUUUUUGGACGUUCAAAUGUUAUCUCAUACUUACACCGAUCAAAGAUUGCUCUCCAUACUGGAUAUCGAUAUAAACAACAUCUCACUUCCGAUGGACUGCAUCAUUGAUGUAGUUGUCUGAUUCUCUAUGAGCAGCAGCAGAUGCUGAUGCAAUCAAUCCACAAUCAGCCCUUUGAGUAGCUCUGAGCAAUUCCAUCUUAAGUCAGGGACAGCAAGUUUAUAUACAGGAAAAGGAAACAUCACAGUCCUCCCAAAGUCACAAUACUUGACUAAAUACUGUUGAUGAAAAAAGUUCACUCCGUGCAAUAUUGAGAGAGGCGAUUCUCAUAUGGCUUACGCAUGCUAGAUGAUUUCAAAAGAUUGUGGAGGAGAUGUAUGUGCCAUCCUCAAGUAACCGUGGC
rnacentral:sRNA from 1 species